AACGCUGACGGCGUGCCUAACACAUGCAAGUCGAGCGAUUCUCUUCGGAGAAGAGCGGCGGACGGGUGAGUAACGCGUGGGUAACCUGCCCUGUACACACGGAUAACAUACCGAAAGGUAUGCUAAUACGAGAUAAUAUGCUUUUAUCGCAUGGUAGAAGUAUCAAAGCUUUUGCGGUACAGGAUGGACCCGCGUCUGAUUAGCUAGUUGGUAAGGUAACGGCUUACCAAGGCGACGAUCAGUAGCCGACCUGAGAGGGUGAUCGGCCACAUUGGAACUGAGACACGGUCCAAACUCCUACGGGAGGCAGCAGUGGGGAAUAUUGCACAAUGGGCGAAAGCCUGAUGCAGCAACGCCGCGUGAGCGAUGAAGGCCUUCGGGUCGUAAAGCUCUGUCCUCAAGGAAGAUAAUGACGGUACUUGAGGAGGAAGCCCCGGCUAACUACGUGCCAGCAGCCGCGGUAAUACGUAGGGGGCUAGCGUUAUCCGGAAUUACUGGGCGUAAAGGGUGCGUAGGUGGUUUCUUAAGUCAGAGGUGAAAGGCUACGGCUCAACCGUAGUAAGCCUUUGAAACUGGGAAACUUGAGUGCAGGAGAGGAGAGUGGAAUUCCUAGUGUAGCGGUGAAAUGCGUAGAUAUUAGGAGGAACACCAGUUGCGAAGGCGGCUCUCUGGACUGUAACUGACACUGAGGCACGAAAGCGUGGGGAGCAAACAGGAUUAGAUACCCUGGUAGUCCACGCCGUAAACGAUGAGUACUAGCUGUCGGAGGUUACCCCCUUCGGUGGCGCAGCUAACGCAUUAAGUACUCCGCCUGGGAAGUACGCUCGCAAGAGUGAAACUCAAAUGAAUUGACG
rnacentral:rRNA from 1 species